rnacentral:rRNA from 1 species
UACGGAGGGUGCGAGCGUUAUCCGGAUUCACUGGGUUUAAAGGGUGCGUAGGUGGGAAUGUAAGUCAGUGGUGAAAUCUCUGAGCUUAACUCAGAAACUGCCAUUGAUACUAUGUUUCUUGAAUUAUCUGGAGGUCAGCGGAAUAUGUCAUGUAGCGGUGAAAUGCUUAGAUAUGACAUAGAACACCAAUUGCGAAGGCAGCUGGCUACAGGUGGAUUGACACUGAGGCACGAAAGCGUGGGGAU